rnacentral:rRNA from 1 species
CCGCGUGAGUGAAGAAGGUUUUCGGAUCGUAAAACUCUGUUGUUAGGGAAGAACAAGUGCCGUUCGAAUAGGGCGGCACCUUGACGGUACCUAACCAGAAAGCCACGGCUAACUACGUGCCAGCAGCCGCGGUAAUACGUAGGUGGCAAGCGUUGUCCGGAAUUAUUGGGCGUAAAGCGCGCGCAGGUGGUUUCUUAAGUCUGAUGUGAAAGCCCACGGCUCAACCGUGGAGGGUCAUUGGAAACUGGGGAACUUGAGUGCAGAAGAGGAAAGUGGAAUUCCAAGUGUAGCGGUGAAAUGCGUAGAUAUUUGGAGGAACACCAGUGGCGAAGGCGACUUUCUGGUCUGUAACUGACACUGAGGCGCGAAAGCGUGGGGAGCAAACAGGAUUAGAUACCCUGGUAGUCCACGCCGUAAACGAUGAGUGCUAAGUGUUAGAGGGUUUCCGCCCUUUAGUGCUGCAGCUAACGCAUUAAGCACUCCGCCUGGGGAGUACGGUCGCAAGACUGAAACUU